GCACCGACACACACACUGACAGCAACAAAAGCUAACUGCUAACACACACAGAGAGACCGAGAGAGAGAGAGAGAGACAGGUGGAGGGAGGCUGAUUCUGGCUGUGCACACAAACACACACACUGAGCUACAGUGAAGCUAACUGCUGAUAGCAUGUUGUGGAGGGGAAGCUAACCUAUUGACACACUCACACACACACACACACACAGCAAUGCAGUGCUGGAGGCUUUCUAUUGGAUGAUGUAGUCAACCUUCAGAUUGACAGACAGCUCAGUGGGUGGGGCCAAGCCUGCAGGUGCAGGUGGUAAUGUCAAAGCGAGGAAUUGGGGGGCGGGGGAAAGGGGAGCGACCGGACGCCAUGGCAACCCUUCAAGCAGCCAACGAUGAGCUUCGAGCCAAACUGACAGACAUCCAAAUAGAACUACAACAAGAGAAGAAUAAGGUGAGUCGUCUGGAGAGAGAGAAGAGUCAGGAGCUGAAGGCGGAGCAUCACCGAGCAACGGUUGCUGUGACGGAACUAAAAACCAAACUCCACGAGGAGAAGCAAAAGGAACUGGCAGUUACUAGAGAGACGUUACUACGACAACACGAGAUGGAAUUGAUGAGGGUCAUCAAGAUCAAAGACGGAGAGAUUCAACGUCUGAAUGGACUCGUGCUAACGCUGCGGGACGGGUCCACGGACAAGGUGAGGAGCGCUCUGCUGGCGGAAGUGGAAGAGGCACGGAGGAGCUGGGAGGCAGAGCGUUGUCGCCUCCAGCAGGAAGUUCAGGAGCUAAGAGGAGCUAAGAGGUUCACAGAGGAGGCUCUGAUGUCAACUCAGCAGGCCUGUCAGGCCCGAGCAGCCGAUCUGCGAUCAGCUCAUCACCAACACCAGGAGGUGCUGAACAGAACCAAGAGAGACUGUGAGAGGGAGAUCCGCCGACUGAUGGAUGAGAUAAAACUGAAGGACCGAGCGGUCAGUGUUUUGGAUAAAGCGCUGGGGCUGCAGGCUGGACAUGCUCACCGCCUGCAGCUGCAGACUCAGGCAGCAGAGCAGCAAAUCGCAGCCCUGAGAGACGCCCAGAGGGUGGGGACAAACCAGCCCAGUCACACCCCUAGCCCCACCCCUAACACUGCUCCUCACAUUUCGCAGGAGGACCGGGACACCCGGAGGUUUCAGUUGAAAAUUGCUGAGCUCAGCGCCAUCGUCAGGAAGCUGGAGGAUCGAAACGCUCUGCUGUCUGAAGAACGCAACGAACUGCUGAAGCGUCUGCGAGAGGCUGAGAGUCAGUUUCUUCCUCUACUGGACAAAAACAAAAGACUGAGCAGGAAGAACGAGGAACUGGCGCUUGCACUGCGUCGCCUCGACAACAAGCUUCAAUUUGUCACACAGGAGAACCUGGAGAUGGUAACUAUGAGAAGACCCAGUUCAUUAAAUGACCUGGACCGCAGCCACUCCACCAGUUACCAUGGUUACAGCCAGGAGGAGAGAGAAAUGGAGUUUCUGCGGUUACAGGUUCUGGAGCAACAACACAUCAUCGAUGACCUGUCCAAGGCUCUGGAGACGGCUGGUUAUGUAAAGAAUGUUAUAGAGAGAGACAUGUUACUGAGAUACAGACGUCAGGACUCAGUGAGGAGGAAACGAACCUUCAGAGCCUGCAGGGUCAUAGAGACGUUCUUUGGUUAUGAUGAAGAGGCGUCGGUUGACUCUGAUGGAUCGUCUUUGUCUUUUCACACUGACAGAACUCCAGACACUGAACCAGAGGAGACGUCUGUGCGUGAGGAGGCGGAGCUUCGUUACCGUCAGCUGACUCAGGAGUAUCAGGCGCUGCAGCGAGCUUAUGCUCUCCUGACGGAGACAAGUGGAGGAAACUACGAUGCAGAGAACGAGAUCAAGACAAGAGAGCAGCUGCUGACAGAAAUUAACCGAUAUCAAAGUCGAGUCAGUGACCUGGAGACAGCGCUAACACAACAAGGACAGGAUGUGCAGUGGGUGGAGCAGAAACAGUCUCUCUAUCAGAGGAACCAGGAGCUCGUUGAAAAGGUGAAGCUGAUGGAGGCUGAAGAGCUGCGACUGAAAAACGACAUUCAAGACGUCAGAGAUCAAAACGAACUGCUGGAGUUCAGGAUCCUAGAGCUGGAGGAGAGGGAGCGACGUUCACCUGCCAUUAACUUCCAACAACUCCAUUUCCCAGAAGGCCUCAGUCCUCUGCAGAUCUACUGUGAAGCAGAGGGAGUCACAGAAAUUGUGAUCAGUGAGUUGAUGAAGAAACUGGACAUUCUGGGAGAUAACGCCGUAAGUAAUCUGUCCAAUGAGGAGCAGGUGGUGGUGAUUCAUGCCAGGACUGUACUCACGUUGGCAGAGAAGUGGCUGGAGUCCAUUGAAGUGACGAAGUCGUCUCUGCAGCAGAAGAUGUUGGACAUUGAGAGUGAGAAGGAUCUGUUCAGUAAACAGAAAGGUUAUCUGGACGAGGAGCUGGACUACAGGAAGCAGUCGAUGGAUCAGGCUCACAAGAGGAUCCUGGAGCUGGAGGCCAUGUUGUUUGAGGCUCUGCGGCAGGAGGAGUCAUCCAGGAUAGAGGGAUUCAAGAUGGACGACAGUCGUCUCUCUGAAACACUGACGGAGGAGGAGAGGGAGGGGCUAAGGAGAGCCAUGGACCAAUGGAAACGAAGUGUGAUGUGCGAACUGAGAGAACGAGAUGCUCAGAUCCUCCGAAAUAGGAUGGAGAUACUGCAGCUGACACAACAGAGAAACAAGGAGCUGGAGGAGUUCAUAGAAAACCAGAAACGACAGAUCAAAGAACUGGAGGAGAAGUUUCUCUUUUUGUUUCUCUUCUUCUCUUUGGCCUUCAUCCUCUGGUCCUAACAGCAGCUGAAAGACUACUACCCCCCCACCUGACAACACACCCAUGUCUGCCGUCUACAAACCAAUCAGAGUCAAGUAUAGGUAGACUCCGCCCACGUAGGUGAUGACGACAGGACUCAGCUUUUUUCUCAGAGGCUUGUGUCAGCAAGGAUCCAGGGUUUGGAACCAGCAGCUCACUGACGGAGGCACAUUGACCUGCCCCCACUCCUCAGCCAAUCAGAUCAGAGUCCAGCUGUCACCUGACUGCACCAUAACAUCCUCCCAGAAUUCCACUGUGCUGCGUCUGAUGAAGAGAAUGGUUUCCUGUUAGCUAUUUUUGACCUGAUGUGCAGCUGACAAACACAUGGUGGCGUCAGUGAGUCACUGGAUUAUCAUGGUGCUGGACUGAAAUAUUUAUUCAGUCUGUUUUUAACUAACCAGCUGUUCUCAGAAACUAACCUAACUGGAAACAUCUCUAGUUAGUUCCAUCACUCAGCUGGUUGACCUCAGUGUUGACGUUGUUGUUAGUUAACUGUUAAUGAAGGAGUCAGAACUCAGACGUGUUGAGAACAAAAAUGAUGGAAAACUAAUGCAAGUUAAUUAAACUUUGUUCUGAUUGGCUGUUCCACCUGCGGACUGGAGCAUUGUGUAACUUCACUCGUGGAUCUGAGGUGACAAUGUGUAACCAUCACAUAGUUUUGCAGAGGAAAUGAACUGGAAGAUGAAGCAGUUCAGAAAAAAAUGAAUCUGAACAUUAUCAAUGAUAAUAUUAUUGAAUAAUAUUAUUCUGAUCAGUGAUAAAAACAAGUCAACUGGACUUGGUUGAGUUGAGUCGACUUGUUUAUGUCACUUGGAUUUAACAUAACCUGGAUGACUGAGAAUCUCAGAAAUAUUCUGAUCAGUUUCACAUGAACGGUUCCCGAGUAUUUCAGUGCUUCACAUCAAUAUUAUAUUAUAUUAUAUUAUAUUAUAUUACUGAGAAAAUAAUUUGAUUCUGUAGUGUUUAAACAUAAAAACAUUUUUUAACUUAUUUUCAAAUCAUAUUGAUUUUUUGUUAAAUUUUUUGUUUGUUUUUCAUGUUUCACUUUCGUUAUUUUCAUUUCAAAUGUUGUGGAAAAAGAAAAACAUGAAAAUAUUUAAUAAUCGACUGAAAUAUUGAAUAUUUCUCUGAUUUUAAACCGAAGCAGAAUUAUAACAUGUUUUAAAAAGUGGAUCCUGCUGUUGAACUUUUCUGAUUCCAGAUGGUAUUUUUUUAUCCUGUGAGUCUGAACAUCUUACGAGUCGACAGUUUUCUGUGAUCACAUUAAAACACUGAACAAUAAA